rnacentral:rRNA from 1 species
CAAUAGCGGAUAUUAAAGUUGUUGCAGUUAAAAAGCUCGUAGUUGGAUUUCUGGUUGAAGCGACCGGUCGGGCGUUGAUUCGUCUGCACUGGAGUCGGUUUUGGCCAUCCUCUAGGAAAGUGCGUCUGGUAUUAAGUUAUCGGGCGUAUGAUCCUGGUCUUUUACUGUGAAAAAAUUAGAGUGUUUAAAGCAGGCCUUCGCCUUGAAUACAUUAGCAUGGAAUAAUAAGAUAGGACUUUGGUCUAUUUUGUUGGUUUGCAGACCGAAGUAAUGAUUAAUAGGGAUAGUUGGGGGUAUUUAUAUUCCGAUGUCAGAGGUGAAAUUCUUAGAUUUUCGGAAGAUAAACUUAUGCGAAAGCAUUUACCAAGGAUGUUUUCAUUAA